AUGAGCCAGCUCCAAGCUCCUGGAAUUUGGAACCCCCUUCUCGCCCCGUUUUCUGUGGAUGACGGGAAGAGAGUUCGGGAUCUGUGUAGUCCCACACAUCCCUUUCCCUGCUCCAGGCUGGGCAGAUCCCUGGAUAAUCUCAUAACCCCUGGAGCUCCACGGCUGCCCCACGGCUCGGGCGCUGGCAGCCAGGGAAGUGCCGUGGGAAGUGAGUCACAGGGUGGGGAGAACCGACUCGCCGGAAUCCCUGCUCGGCAUCCUCCGGCCCCGGCGCUUUUCCCAGGCUCCUCAUUCUGCCUCUCCAACCCCUUCCUGCGCCGGGAACACGGCAGCGUGACUCUGCCGGCGAGAGUUUGUCAUGGGAAUGGCCCUAAGCUCCUCCAAACCCGCUCCCACCUCUCCACUGCCUUCCAAAGGAUCCAUCCUGCCCCGCUGGGCAUCCGGGCUGGGCCCUGCCCGGGCGGCAGCACCCGGGGCCGCGUGGGAAGGAGCCGGAUCAGCGCCGGGAGCUGGAGAUGCUCUUGGAAAGAGGCUGGGAAUAGCUGCGGGCCGCCGUGCGAGCCGGAGCCGGCGGGGCAGGGCGCGGUGGGGCUGCCUCAGCAGCAGCCGCGGGGGCCGGCAGCUCGCCAGCUCCGGGGGCUGAGUUUCGGUGGCUUGACUCAGCAGGGAGGGGGCCAGGAGCCGCGCUCGCCGCGCUCAUCGCCCUGGCAGCGAGGCCGCCAGGUUGCCCGUGGGGCUGGGAAGGGCUCUGGGGUGCCGCAGGGCGAGGAUGGGCAGGGAGGGGCCGAGUCCGUGCCCGCAGGGGCUCUCGGUGGCCCCGCGGUCCCGCUGCGGCCCCGGUGGGGCCGCGGAAUGUGGCUUUUGGCUCCCACGCUGCUAUGGGCACCUGGAGGGAUGCCGCUGGUUGUCCCCUCCUUGUCGCUGGGAAUGUCUGCCCGUGGCACUGGGAUGGAGACUGGGGCCUUCCCAGCACCCUGGAGGGGCCGGGCGCCUUGGGGACAUCCGGGUUGUGUCGCCACUGGCUGGGGGCUGGGGCCAGGCCUGUGUUCCCAGCCGGGCAGGGAAAAAUCUGGCACUGGUGGAGUGAGAAUUCCCCUUCCAGGUGCCCGGAUCCCCUUCCCUGGGGGGGACGUGAGAAACACCCCGUGCCCCACCCCAACCUGGGACCCCCGCCCGGGCAGUGCGGCUCUGCUGGGGGGUCCCCACGAGGGGAUUUGGGUUAGAAGGGCAGGGAUCUGGCACAAUUCCCACCCCACAGUGGGAUCAGUGCCCGCCGCAGCCCUGGCAGCCCUCGCCGUGCAUCGGGAGGCUGCAGAGAUGGGCAGGGAUGGGGAUUCAUCCCACAGAUGGGAUGGAUCCCUCCCCUGGGACCCCACCGAAGGGGUUGGGCUCUCCCUGGCCGGGCUCGGUGGCCUGGGGAGAAGGGUGCGAUGCCACCCCGGGGCUGGCAGGGCCCCUUCUCUCUCCCCGACCCUAAAGCCGGCCCCAAACCGGCAGCUGGGUGCGGGGGGCUGCGGCGGGUCCCGCUGCCGGGGCUGCGCGGGCGGCCGGAUCCGGUGUCAGGAGGUAAUUUUAGGCGGGGGCAGCGGAGGGCAGAGGGACGUGCCAGUCCCGCGAGGGGCUUCACGGGGCUGUCAGCCCCCCGCUCCCCUCCUGGUCCCCUCGCGGUCCCCUCGUCACGGCCCCGCCACCAAAUCAAUGCUUUCCUCUUUUUUUUUGGCAGGAGGAGGAGAAUGGGAACCGAGCAGGUCCCCCCCGGAGCCGCCUGGAGCCCAUGGACACGAUCUUCGUGAAGAACGUGCGGGAGGACGGGCCGGCGCACCAGGCGGGGCUGCGCACGGGUGAGCGGGGACGCGGAGCCGGGGGUGGCUCCAGGGCUGCUCGCGGGAUCCCGGGAAUGCUCCGCCUUCUCUGCCAGGGACUUUCUGGCUUAUUCUGCUCGGUUUUUGGGCAUCCCUGCUCUUUUUUGUGUCUUCUCUCUGGUCCUGGGGUGCUCAGAGCAGCCUUGGGGUCUCCGUGGGUUCUCCUGGGUUUUUUUUUGCUCCGUUUGCCACAUGGGAUGUGGCAAAAGCUCGGCUCAAACCCUGCCCUGGCUGACCGUGGGGACAUCCAGGUGCCACCGCUCCCCUGAGGUGACACCGUCCCCUCCCCGGGCUCUGCAGGUGACCGGCUGGUCAAGGUGAACGGGGAGAGCAUCGUCGGGAAAACCUACUCGCAAGUGAUCGCCCUGAUCCAGAACAGGUGAGUGCCCUUCCCGGGAUGGGAGGUGACAGGAUGGGGACACGUCACAGCAGGCUCUGUCCCUCUGGGUGUCACUGGCAUGACAGGGGCCCUGAGGCGCUUGGGUGACCAGGGACAGGCAGCAACGUGCUGUCACCAUCACGUGGGGACAGGGACGUUCAUCUCGUGGGGGAAUCCAGCUUGGGGACAGGUAGGGACUGACCCCGUCCAGCCUGACCCCCCUGUCCCCUGUCCUGCAGUGACGAUGUGCUGGAGCUCUCCAUCAUGCCCAAGGAUGAGGACAUCCUCCAGCUGGUGAGUUUGCCGGGCGGGUGCCUUGGGGACACUUGGGGACACUUGGGGACAGGGCUUCACCAGCAGCCCUGGAGGAGCAAUGGGUGCAGAACUGAGGGUACUGGGGCAGGAACAGGGGGGAUGUGGCCCCUGUGAUUUUGGGGGGACGAGUUGUCCCAGGUUUCAGGGUCUGGCUUAUCCUUGGGUCCCCCCAAGUGGCUCUGCCACCGGUGGGCUCAGAUCUGGGGGUGACAAUGGCCCUGUCAGGGUGGCCUGAGCCAAUGGAGUGCGUGGGGCUCCUCCUGAUGCCUCUCCCAUCCCAGCUUGGAUAUUUGGUGGCUUGUGGGAUUCCCCACUGCUUGUGCCCAGCCUGAGGGACCCCUUCCCGCAGGGCUGGGGGGUUUACAAGGGGGUCCCCAUCUGCGCCUGCUCCGGGCUCUGGGAAUCCCCCGGCGUGGAGUCAGAGGCGCCUGUGAAAAGUGACACGGGACAGCCGGGAUGGCCGUGCCGGGGUAUUUUAGGAACGAGGGGAGGGGACAGCGGGAGAGCUGCGGCUGCUGCCAGCGUUGGUCGAAGCCGGGGGGACCCCGUGGGAAAGCGCAAUGGGUGUGGGGGGGCUGCGUCCAGCCCAGCCCAGUUGACCCCACGGGAGAUUUGCUCAGGGGUUGGGGGAUGCAGAGAGCAUCCUUGCGGUGGGAAUGUGGAGCAUUGUGACCCUGUCCCC
rnacentral:lncRNA from 13 species